UGGGGUGACUAGAAUGGUACUUGUAACUACUUGAUUGCUUGCACUGAUACCUUGUUGGGUCAAAGCAAACAUCCAUACAUUUUCUUGUUGUUUCUGAUCUACUAGCUUGGAAGUCUUUGAACUAUUCUUUUUCUUAAUAGGACAAUCUCAUGCGAUAUGUCCUAUUCUGCCGUAUGAAAAGCAUGCUCCUAACUUUGUGAGAUAAGGUCCAUAAUGAUUUUUGCCAUAAUAUUCAC
rnacentral:lncRNA from 1 species